UACGUAGGGGGCAAGCGUUGUCCGGAAUCAUUGGGCGUAAAGCGCGUGUAGGCGGCUUGGUAAGUCUGCUCUGAAAGCCCGGGGCUCAACCCCGGGAGGCGGGUGGAUACUGUCAAGCUCGAGUCCGGAAGAGGUGAGUGGAAUUCCUGGUGUAGCGGUGAAAUGCGUAGAUAUCAGGAGGAACACCUGUGGCGAAAGCGGCUCACUGGACCAUAACUGACGCUGAUGCACGAAAGCUAGGGGAGCAAACAGG
rnacentral:rRNA from 1 species